GAUUAAACUGAAGAGUUUGAUCCUGGCUCAGAUUGAACGCUGGCGGCAUGCCUAACACAUGCAAGUCGAACGGUAACAGGUCUAGCUUGCUAGACGCUGACGAGUGGCGGACGGGUGAGUAAUGCAUAGGAAUCUGCCCAGUAGCGGGGGACAACUCGGGGAAACUCGAGCUAAUACCGCAUACGCCCUACGGGGGAAAGCGGGGGACCUUCGGGCCUCGCACUAUUGGAUGAGCCUAUGUCUGAUUAGCUAGUUGGUAGAGUAACGGCCUACCAAGGCGACGAUCAGUAGCUGGUCUGAGAGGACGAUCAGCCACACUGGAACUGAGACACGGUCCAGACUCCUACGGGAGGCAGCAGUGGGGAAUAUUGGACAAUGGGGGCAACCCUGAUCCAGCAAUGCCGCGUGUGUGAAGAAGGCCUGCGGGUU
rnacentral:rRNA from 1 species